AGAGUUUGAUCAUGGCUCAGAUUGAACGCUGGCGGCAGGCCUAACACAUGCAAGUCGAACGGUAACAGGAAGCAGCUUGCUGCUUCGCUGACGAGUGGCGGACGGGUGAGUAAUGUCUGGGAAACUGCCUGAUGGAGGGGGAUAACUACUGGAAACGGUGGCUAAUACCGCAUAACGUCGCAAGACCAAAGAGGGGGACCUUCGGGCCUCUUGCCAUCAGAUGUGCCCAGAUGGGAUUAGCUUGUUGGUGAGGUAACGGCUCACCAAGGCGACGAUCCCUAGCUGGUCUGAGAGGAUGACCAGCCACACUGGAACUGAGACACGGUCCAGACUCCUACGGGAGGCAGCAGUGGGGAAUAUUGCACAAUGGGCGCAAGCCUGAUGCAGCCAUGCCGCGUGUAUGAAGAAGGCCUUCGGGUUGUAAAGUACUUUCAGCGGGGAGGAAGGUGUUGUGGUUAAUAACCGCAGCAAUUGACGUUACCCGCAGAAGAAGCACCGGCUAACUCCGUGCCAGCAGCCGCGGUAAUACGGAGGGUGCAAGCGUUAAUCGGAAUUACUGGGCGUAAAGCGCACGCAGGCGGUCUGUCAAGUCGGAUGUGAAAUCCCCGGGCUCAACCUGGGAACUGCAUUCGAAACUGGCAGGCUUGAGUCUUGUAGAGGGGGGUAGAAUUCCAGGUGUAGCGGUGAAAUGCGUAGAGAUCUGGAGGAAUACCGGUGGCGAAGGCGGCCCCCUGGACAAAGACUGACGCUCAGGUGCGAAAGCGUGGGGAGCAAACAGGAUUAGAUACCCUGGUAGUCCACGCCGUAAACGAUGUCUACUUGGAGGUUGUGCCCUUGAGGCGUGGCUUCCGGAGCUAACGCGUUAAGUAGACCGCCUGGGGAGUACGGCCGCAAGGUUAAAACUCAAAUGAAUUGACGGGGGCCCGCACAAGCGGUGGAGCAUGUGGUUUAAUUCGAUGCAACGCGAAGAACCUUACCUGGUCUUGACAUCCACGGAAGUUUUCAGAGAUGAGAAUGUGCCUUCGGGAACUGUGAGACAGGUGCUGCAUGGCUGUCGUCAGCUCGUGUUGUGAAAUGUUGGGUUAAGUCCCGCAACGAGCGCAACCCUUAUCCUUUGUUGCCAGCGGUUAGGCCGGGAACUCAAAGGAGACUGCCAGUGAUAAACUGGAGGAAGGUGGGGAUGACGUCAAGUCAUCAUGGCCCUUACGACCAGGGCUACACACGUGCUACAAUGGCGCAUACAAAGAGAAGCGACCUCGCGAGAGCAAGCGGACCUCAUAAAGUGCGUCGUAGUCCGGAUUGGAGUCUGCAACUCGACUCCAUGAAGUCGGAAUCGCUAGUAAUCGUGGAUCAGAAUGCCACGGUGAAUACGUUCCCGGGCCUUGUACACACCGCCCGUCACACCAUGGGAGUGGGUUGCAAAAGAAGUAGGUAGCUUAACCUUCGGGAGGGCGCUUACCACUUUGUGAUUCAUGACUGGGGUGAAGUCGUAACAAGGUAACCGUAGGGGAACCUGCGGUUG
rnacentral:rRNA from 1 species